CCUACGGGUGGCAGCAGUGGGGAAUAUUGGGCAAUGGGCGCAAGCCUGACCCAGCAACGCCGCGUGAAGGAAGAAGGCUUUCGGGUUGUUAACCUCUUUUUUUAGGGACGAAGCAAGUGACGGUACCUGCUGAAUAAGUCACGGCUAACUACGUGCCAGCAGCCGCGGGAAUACGUAGGUGGCAAGCGUUAUCCGGAUUUACUGGGUGUAAAGGGUGUUUAGGCGGGAGUGCAAGUCAGAUGUGAAAACUAUGGGCUCAACCCAUAGCCUGCAUUUGAAACUGUACUUCUUGAGUUCUGGAGAGGCAAGCGGAAUUCGGUGUGUAGCGGUGAAAUGCGUAGAUAUACGGAGGAACACCAGUUGCGAAGGCAGAUUGCUGGACAGUAACUGACGCUGAGGCGCGAAAGCGUGGGGAGCAAACAGGAUUAGAUACCCGGGUAGUC
rnacentral:rRNA from 1 species